AGCAGCCGCGGUAAUUCCAGCUCCAAUAGCGUAUAUUAAAGUUGUUGCAGUUAAAAAGCUCGUAGUUGAAUUUCGGGGUCAGUAGGCUGGUCGUGCCACGGGUAUGUACUGGUCUUACUGAUUCCUCCUUCCUGAUGAACCGUAAUGCCAUUAAUUUGGUGUUGCGGGGAAUCUGGACUGUUACUUUGAAAAAUUAGAGUGUUUAAAGCAGGCUAACGCUUGAAUACAUUAGCAUGGAAUAAUGAAAUAGGACGAUCGAUCCUAUUUUGUUGGUUUCUAGGAUUGACGUAAUGAUUAAUAGGGAUAGUUGGGGGCAUUAGUAUUCAAUUGUCAGAGGUGAAAUUCUUGGAUUUAUUGAAGACUAACUACUGCGAAAGCAUUUGCCAAGGAUGUUUUCAUUAAUCAAGAACGAAAGUUAGGGGAUCGAAGACGAUCAGAUACCGUCGUAGU
rnacentral:rRNA from 1 species